AGGAAGGGAAGACAAGAGGGGUAGAUGGGGAGGGCUGCAUUUAUUUCAGUUGUAGUUAGGUAGGCCCAGUAUCAAUAAGUAUUGGGCAAAUUUAAAGUUCGAGUUUAGGCUGAGAUUGCUUUAGUCCUCUAACCAAUGGUUUUAUCAUUUUCAGAAGUAUGACAAGCAACAGCUGUCCAGCUACUAGGUGGUUCAGUUUCUCUCCUAUUCCAGGUUAGGGUUUGGGAUGGAUAGAUCUACCUAUUUCUGGUCUGUGUCAAUUUUGUGUAUAUUACUAAGUCCACUCCAUCCCAUUUCCACAUUAAUCUGCAUAAAAGAAAAAGAAAAUUAUAUCCAUAUACGGUUUAAAAUGUAUUUUAAAACUCCAUCUAAUGUAGUUCACACUAGCAAUAAUUGCAACAAUUUUCCAGUUCCCCUUCCUUCUAGGAUUAUCUUUUUAAAGAAAGAAUGAAAUGAAAUGAGGGCCAAGGAGGAGGUUGAGAAAGACGGAGAAACUUAAAGAGAAAGGCAGAAGGAGAAAAGAAGAAAUAAAGAAGGACCAAAACCAAACAUAUUUGGGUCCCACGUUGCAUUUGGAGUUUGAAGGUAAAUUCCAAAUAUGAGAAAGUUGAAGGCUAUCUUAUAUAUUAUAUUGUAAGUUGUAUUCUAUAUUGUCAGUGUAUCCCAAUGCCUGCACCAUUGCCAGCCUACUGAAAUAAUGGAGUUUGGAAAAUAAAACUAAAGGAGGUUGGGGGAGAGAUCACAUUAGAUAUCCAAAAUUCCUGUAAAGAAGAAUUGCAAUUAUAUGAAGCAAAAAUUUCCAACUAUUUAAAUUCACUGUCUGGUUGUAGGUAGACUAUGUUGGGGGGAAAUAGCAUUCCUAUCUGACUCGAUUGGCUUUCCCUGUGCAAACCAUACAGAACCCAAAUCUUGUAAGCAUUUUGAAGUGUGCAACAUUAGUGUUAUUAUUCAUGAAGUGUCUGGUGAGCUAAUGUUUGGAUUUUCACCAGUUGCUGAUAGUAAAUCAGUUGCUUUUCGGUAAGCCUUCAAAGUAUAAUUUAAAAUGUAACAUGCUAGUUGGAGGUAAAAAAGAAAAGGCUUUUAAAAGUGUGCUUCUGUGGCUUUUAUAAAUAAUUUAAUCUUUUAAGAAGAGCACUAGUAGUCUCGCCUCCUCAACCACUGGCCACUGGCCUCCAUCACAUUAGUUUUGUUGCAGAAUGGUAACAUAGAAUAAGCUACUUUUAAAUGGCUUUUUAAAUGAUGUGGUUAAGGAAUACAGCAGCAUUAUCCAAUGGCUAUUUUAAAAUGUCUCCUCCCUUCUCCCAACCAUUGAAACAAUCUGAUUCCCUUUUGUAAUUUGCUCGUUCAGUUGCAUAGCUGAGUGGAAAUUAAGUUGGGAGAGUCUGAAACACUUUGGUGUCUUGUUGCACACUUUCCCAUUUCAUGUAUAGACACUGGAUCUAUUUUUCAACCCUAGCUUCCAUUUUCUGAUUGUUCUUAGCCUUGGUGUCACAUCCCCGCAAUGGAGUGAGCUCCCGUUGCUCUGUCUCAGCUUCCGCCAACCUAGCAGUUUGAAAGCACGGCAGUGAAAGUAGAUAGGCCUUCUUCUUUGGUGAUCACUCGUAGCCGAGUAAGAUGGUCUUCCAUAAACAUGGUUUUAACAAUGAGUCUGUAAGUGACUGUAGACGCCAAUUCUGGAUCCACAGUGGGGACACUGGUUUCCAGGCGGGAGUUGAUCACAGUGCGGAUUUGUCAAGUGUGUCUUCCUCUUAGCACAUUUCUCCCUUGUGUCCUGAGUUUGAGUGUCUUCAAAGCCCAUGACACCUUUGGUAAAGGCUGUUCUCCAACUGGAGCACUCACAGGCCAGUGUUUCCCAGUUGUCAGUAUUUAUACUACAUUUUUAAAGAUUUGCCUUGAGACAGUCUUUAAACCUCUUUUGUUGACCACCAGCAUUACACUUUCCAUUUUUAAGUUUGGAAUAGAGUAGUUGCUUUGGAAGAUGAUCAUCAGGCAUCUGCACAACAUGACGAGUCCAACGAAGUUGAUGUUGAAGAAUCAUUCCUUCAACACUGGUGAUCUUUGCUUCUUCCAGUACACUGAUAUUAGUUCACCUGUCUUCCCAAGUGAUGUGUAACAUUUUUCAGAGACACCGUUAAUGGAAUCUUUCGAGGAGUUGGAGAUGGCGUUUAUAAGUGGUCCAUGUUUCACAAGCAUAUAAUAAGGUUGGUAGUACAAUAGCUUUGUAAACAAGCAUUUUGGUUUCCCUGUGAAUGUCCUGGUCCUCAAACACUCUGUACUGCACCCACAGAGCUCAGGUGCUGCUGGAUUUCGGCAUCAAUGUUGGCCCUUGUGGAAAGAUAACUGCCUAGGUAGGAGAAGAAGUGAUUGACAUUUUCCAACAUUACACCAUUGAGUUGGAUUUGUGGCACUGCAGAGGGGUUAUUUUGUACUUGUUGGUGCAGCACUUUGGUUUUUGGAUGUUGAGUGAUAGGCCAAGCUUUCGUAAGCUUCUGCAAAGAUAUUUAGGAUUGUUUGGAGGUCAUCCUCUGAGUGUGCGCACACUACGUUGUCAUCAGCAUACUGAAGCUCUAUGAUGGAAGUUACGGUAACCUUACUCUUUCCUUUCAGCCUUCUCAGAUUGAAGAGCUUUCCAUCUGUUCGAUAUAUGAUUUCUACUCCGGUGGGGAGUUUCCCUUCGACAAAGUGUAGGAUCAUGGCAAUGAAAAUAAUGAAUAGAGUUGGGGCAAUAACACAACCCUGUUUAACACCUGAUCCCACUGUGAAUGGUUCACUUUGAGAACCAUUGUUAUCUGCGAUUGUUGCUGUCAUAUUAUCAUGGAGGAGCCGAAUGCUGUUUACAAAUUUAUCUGGGCAGCCAAUUUUCAGAAGGACAGUCCACAGGGCAUUACGACUUAGUGUCGAAAGCCUUAGUCAGGUCAAUAAAUGCCAUAUACAGGAGUUGGUUUUUCUCUCUGCAUUUUUCUUGAAGCUGUCAAGCGGUGGAAAUCAUUUCCACUGUCCCCCUAGAAGGCUGAAAACCAUUUUGGGAUUCAGGAAGGGUCACCUCGGAUAUUGUUAAGAGACGGUUUGCUAAGAUCCUUGCAAGAAUCUUGGUGGCCACAGCUAAUAGUGAGAUGCCUCGAUAGUUUCCACAAUCAGUUCUGUCACCUUUUUUUAAAAGAGAUUGGUAAUUCUGGCAUCCCUAAAGUCUGCUGGGAUCUCUUCUCUUUCCCAUAUUUUUUCGAUGAGCUUGUGAAGUUGUUGUGUAAGUUGAAUUCCGCCCACUUUGAAGAUUUCGGCAGGUAUCCCAUCAGGUCCACUGGCUUUGUUGUUUUUCAUUUGGUUAAUAGCUGUACACAAUUCUCCCAGAUUUGGAGAUACUGCAAGCUCAUCUCUAACUUGUUUUUGCAGAAUUUGUGAGAGGACCUCAGCAGCUAUGGGGGAGUUGCAGUUAAGGAGAUGUUGGUAGUGUUCUCUUCCAGCACAGAACCUCAGCCUUAGUGUUGGCAUAGGGUUUUUUUUCUUAGGGGCACAGUUUCUAUCUCUUUGCCAGAUCUGAAAGCCCUUCCUUUUCUUGUCAAUCAUGCGUUCAAUAUCACUGUCAUUCUCAUCAAAAACAGAGGUCAUAUCAGUGCCAGCUCUCACCCCUGCCAUCUGCUACUGGAUAUGAAUGGUGGUGGGGAGGCUGGAAAGAGUGUGGCUUUGUGAUUUAGGAGGAAAAGUUGAUGUUUUUGUUUGCUAAUUUCCUUGGCAGGGAUGUACCCUCAUAGCCCUGAUGCACCACCCACUAUUUUGCUAGGUGCCUGAGACUGCAAAAAUGGUGCUGUCAAGCUUUCUUAUUCAGCGCAAGAUACCCUCAUCACAUACUGAAGAGAAAAAUUCUUCUGUAUACAGAAACCUGCUUUCUCUAACUCAGAUUCUUAUUGUGAAACUUUUUUUUUUUUUUUAAGCAUACUUUCUGCACUUGUUUGCCAGCUACCCGUAGCUUGGCUUUAUGCAACAAAACCUUAUUUGGGACUAGCAGGAGAUGUUCAGAGAAGUUUCUGUUAAUGUAACAUUGAUUGUGUUCUUCAAAAAGGGAAGCACCUCGUGGGUAUUUUCUGAGGCUUUUAAUUUUCCUUUGUUGCCAUGUAGGUCAAUUAAGGAGGGGAAAUGCUGUCAUGGGAAUCUCUGUAUCUUGUACUAAAGUCACUUGUGCUUGACAAUAAUGUUCAGUUGAAAGCUGGACUAAUUAACAGUAAUGUCUGCCAGUGCCAUACUUCAAAAACAACUCAAAUUUUAACAGCUCGGGACCAGCAGUGAGCAAAACAGGACUGAACAGCAACAGCCUGCUCUUGCAAUUAAAUUCAUCCAGUCUGUAUUGGCAGUGAAGACUAAGCUGAAUUUAGUACAAGUUUAUUAUUCCAAAGUAGGAAUUGCCAUCAGAUACUAAGCUGCAGAGCAGAUAUUUAAAAGACCUCCUUUCCAACACUACAGUGGUACCUCCAGUUAAGAACUUAAUUCGUUCUGGAGGUCCGUUUGUAACCUGAAACUGCUCAUAACAUGAGGUUCGCUUUCACUAAUGGUGUCUCCCGCUGCUGCCGCACUGCCGGCACACGACUUCUGCUUGCAUCCUGGGGCAAAGUUCACUACAAGGGGCAUCUACUUCCGGGUUAGAGGAGCUUGUAACCUGCAGCAUUAGCAAGGAGAACAGUACAUAAAACGAGGUUCCACUGUAUUUGAGAUUUACUAUUAGACUAUGAGAGCAGGGGAGUUAACUCUUAAUGCUUCUGGUUAUGGUAGGAGAGAAGAGCAACAGCAUCACACAAAUACCUCGCUGUACAGCAAGCAUAGGGAACUUCUCUGCCAAGGGCUGCAUUCCCUCAGGAAUAAUCUGUUGGGGGCCACAUGCUAGUGGUGGAUAGUCAGAACAAAGCAUGGCUCCUUUCUUUCUGUCAACCUUUCUGGCUCCCGAUGCAUCCCCAUGCCUGGAGAUUUGCCAGGAGUCUGAGCUACUUGCUUGCAAAGGGUCUUCCCCUUUCUUUUUUUGCUCACUCCAUUCAUUUCAGCAUUCUUUUCCACACAGCCCCUCACCCUCCUUACCUGCUAUUCUCACCCACAGGAAAUUAGACUGAGGACUGCAGGCUCUUCUUUCUUGCUGUACGGAGAAGUACCAAAACAAGAAAUCUGUAUUGUGGUGCGUGGUCAGAGAUCAUGUAUCUCACACACUGCUUUUGCUCAGCCAAAACAAAGAUGAGGAGGGUAGUCCAUGUGAAGUGCGAAUCUUUGAUUACUUCAAUAUCCCUCUCCCAAAUCACUGUGGCUUUCACUGUGAUUAAAAGCUAGACCUAUCCAUCAAAAUAAAAUAUCCUUCCACCCAG
rnacentral:lncRNA from 1 species